UCAUAGAGGAGUUUGGUAAAGUAGCAGGAUACAAAGUCAACGCUCAGAAAUCAACAGCCUUUGUAUAUACAGAUAAUGCUGUGGCUGAGGAAGAACUUCUAAGAUCAAUCCCAUUCACAAUAUCCACAAAAACAAUAAAGUACCUUGGAAUAAAUUUGACCAAGGAUGUCAAAGACCUCUAUGAUGAAAAUUACAAACACUAAAGAAAGAAAUAGAAGACGACACAAAAAAAUGGAAAAACCUGCCAUGCUUAUGGAUUGGAAGAAUCAAUAUCAUCAAAAUGUCCAUUCCCCCUACAAGUUUAAUGCAAUACCAAUCAAAAUACCAAAGUCAUUCUUCAAAGACCUAGAAAAAACAAUGCUGAAAUUCAUAUGGAGACACAGGAGACCUCGAAUAGCUAAAGCAAUACUUUAUAAUAAAAACAAAGCUGGAGGCAUCACAAUUCCAGACUUUAAGAAAUACUGCAGGGCAGUUAUAAUCAAAACAGCCUGGUACUGGUACAAAAACAGAUGGAUAGACCAAUGGAACAGAAUAAAAACACCGGAGAUCAAUCCAAACAUCUAUAACCAACUCAUAUUCGACAAAGGACCUAAAACCAACCCCUGGAACAAGGACAGCCUCUUCAACAAAUGGUGCUGGGAAAACUGGAUGUCCACAUGUCAAAGUAUGAAGCAAGACCCCUACCUUACACCUUAUACAAAAAUCCAUUGAACAUGGAUCAAAGAACUAGAGUUGCGCCACAACACCGUGAAACUAAUUGAUAGCAUAGGGGAAACCCUCCAAGAUACUGGAACAGGCAAAGAAUUCCUGGAGAAGACCCCAGAGGCACCGGUAAUCAAAGAUAAAAUAAACAAAUGGGAUUACCUCAAAUUGAAAAGUCUUCUUUACAGCAAAGGAAACAGUCAGGAAAGUGAAGAGGCAACCAACAAAAUGGGAGGCGUUAUUCGCAAACUACACAACAGAUAAAGUAUUAACAACUAAAAUCUAUAAAAUGAUCAAGAAACACCACAGAAUCAAAACAAACAACCCAAUAAAAGAUGGGCCAAGGACCUUAACAGACAUUUUUCAAAAGAGGAAAUCCAAAUGGCCAACAAACACAUGAAAAAAUGCUCAGGAUCACUAGCCAUAAGGGAAAUGCAGAUCAAAACCACAAUGAGGUUUCACCUCACUCCAGUUAGAUUGGCUUACAUACAGAAAUCAACCACCAACAUAUGCUGGUGAGGAUGUGGGGAAAAAGGGACAUUAAUCCACUGUUGGUGGGAAUGCAAACUGGUAAAGCCACUAUGGAUAACAGUUUGGAGAGUCCUCAGAAAUCUGAAUGUAACAUUAGCACAGGACCCAGCCAUCCCACUCCUUGGAAUUUACCCAAAUGGAAUUAAAGGGGAGAAAAAAAGAGCCAUUUGCACCUCCAUAUUUGUUGCAGCUCAAUUCACAAUAGCUAAGACAUGGAAGCAACCUAAAUGUCCAUCAAUGGAUGACUGGAUAAAGAAACUAUGGGAUAUGUACUCUCUGGAACACUAUACAGCAGUAAAAAACAAUGAAAUACGGGCAUUUACAAAAAAAUGGAGGAAGCUGGAAAAUAUCAUCCUGAGUGAUGUAAGCCAGUCCAAAAGGGACAAAUAUCAUAUGUUCUCCCUGAUCGAUGGCAACUAAACGAGCAUCUAAAAUGAUACCCAUUGAAGUGAAAUGGACAUUAUUAGAGAAUGACUUGAUCAGCCCUUGUCUAGACUGUUGAGGAACAACUGACUAUUUUAUUCCUUUUAGUAUUUUUGUUGUUGUUGUUGUUGUUGCUUUGUUUGUUCUUACUUAAUACCACUUGUUGAACUUUGUAAUCAAUGCACAAUCAUUCUUAGGUGUUUAAAAAUUAACAGAAAAGUGAUCUAUGUUAAACAUAGGAGUGGGAAUAAGAGAGGGAGGAGAUAUAUAGGUUGGCACAGGCUCACUCUGACUUACCUCCAAUGGUGGAACUAGAAAUGUGCCAAGGGAUUUCAACUCAAUCUUAUCAAGGAGGCAUGUACCAAUGCCAGCACACUUGGUAAAGUGAUAAGUAUAAGUACACAACCGAUCAAAAACAUAGGGAAAGUGUCAAAGAGAUUUUACAAACAAGACCAGUGUAAGCAAAUAAUGAAGGAUAGAAUUAUAAGGGAGAGAAUGAUCCUGCAGGGGAAGCAGGACAUACAGAAGACUCAUAGAAUGGCAAACGCCCAAAACAGCACUACGGCCUCAGAAUCAACCCUUGGGGCAUUCAGAUCUGGCUAAAAGGCCCAUGAGAGUCUCACAGGCAUGGAACAAUGGCAAAAACAAUCUAAAUGAAAGAUCCUGGUGAACAAGACCCCAGCAGAAGGAACAGGCCAUCAAGGAGGGAGGCACCUUUCUCUGAAUGGAGGAAGGAACCUCCACUGUGAUAUGGCCUUGACUAAAUAAGUUCACAGUUGGUGAACUCAAGGGGCUUCCAUAGCCUAGACAGCUCAUGGCAAGAGCCUCGGGUGAUUGCUGACGUCAUAAAUAAGAAUGCCAAUUGUUAAAUCAACAAUGGUUUUCACUGGGUACAGGCUCCCCAAGUAGGAUCUCUGUCCUUAAUGUAUUUUACUAUGAAACUUAAAAACAACACUACUAGUCGAACAAUACCCUAAACCUUGUGUGGUUGUGUGAGGGCAGCCUGUUGAAAUCCUUCCUUAGUUUAUACUAAAUUGAUCUUCUGUAUAUGAAGCCUGUGUGAGAAUGCAGCAUCCUCACAGCCAGCAGAUCUCAAGGUAUGGAUCAAGGACCACUUAGAAUCCCCAAGAACUUGCCAGAGCAUUCCAAAGGUUGUAUCAGUGGUGGCUAGGAAGCAUUCCCUUGGAGAGGCUUCAAUACAUCCAGAUUGUUGUGCCCCACCCCAUCUCUAGAGUUUCUGAUUCAGCAGACCUUCAGUGGAGUUUAAGAAUUGUACAGUAACUCUACAAUGUAUUAGCCUAGCAAAGACUUCCUGGGUAAGAUCCCAGAACUACUGGCAAUAAAAGCAAAAAUAGGCAAUUCAUAUCUUUACAUCAAGCUAAGAAGCUUCUGCACAGCAAAGCAAACAAUUAACAAAAUGAAAAGACAACAGACAGAAUGAGUGGUAAUAUUUGCAAACUGCAUCCAGUAAAAGAUUAGUAUCCAGAAUAUGUAAGUAGAUCUAGAAACUCAAAAGCAACAAAGCAAACAACCAAGUUAAGGAAUGGGCAAUGAUAUGAGCAGACAUUGCUCAAAGAAAUCAAAUGUCAACAUUCACAUGAAAAAAAUGCUCAAGAUCACUAGCCACCAGGGAAACACAAAUAAAAGCCACAAUGUUUCACAUAAACCCAGUUAGAAUGGCUAUCAUCCAAAAAUUGAAAAAAAAAAAAAUGAAUGUUGGUGAGACUGUGGAGAACAUGUACUGUUAUACAUUGUUACAACCACCCUGAAAAACUGUAUGGAGAUUCCUCAGAAAGCUAAAAAUAGAUCCUCUCUUGACCCAUAUCCAAAUCCUGGAAAUAUCCAAAGCAAAUAUCUAAAUAUUCAGAUAGCAUACGGAAAUAGCAUUUGGAAAUACCCCAUCAGCAUAUGAAAGAGGUAACUGAAAUUCCAUGUUCAUAGUAGCGCAAUUCAAUAGCAGUAAUGUGGAAUCAAUUUAGGUGUCCAUCAACUGAUGAUUAGAUAAAGAAAAUGAUAUAUAUAUAUAUAUAUAUAUACACACAUGAUGGAAUAUUAUUCAGCCAUGAAGAGGAAGAAAUUCUGAGAUAUGUAACAAAGUUGUUGGAACUGGAAAUCAUUAUGCUAAGUGACAUAAGCCAGACCCAGAAAAAUAAAUAUUACAUGUCAUCUGUUAUUU